rnacentral:rRNA from 1 species
UACGUAGGGGGCUAGCGUUGUCCGGAAUCAUUGGGCGUAAAGAGCGUGUAGGCGGCCCGGUAAGUCCGCUGUGAAAGUCCAGGGCUCAACCCUGGAAAGCGGGUGGAUACUGCCGGGCUAGAAUCCGGAAGAGGCGAGUGGAAUUCCUGGUGUAGCGGUGGAAUGCGCAGAUAUCAGGAGGAACACCAAUAGCGAAGGCAGCUCGCUGGGACGGUAUUGACGCUGAGGCGCGAAAGCGUGGGGAGCAAACAGG